CACGUAGGGGGCGAGCGUUGUCCGGAAUUAUUGGGCGUAAAGGGCGCGCAGGCGGUCUCUUAAGUCUGAUGUGAAAGGCCACGGCUCAACCGUGGGAUGGCAUUGGAAACUGGGGGACUUGAGUGCAGGAGAGGGGAGCGGAAUUCCCGGUGUAGCGGUGAAAUGCGUAGAGAUCGGGAGGAACACCAGUGGCGAAGGCGGCUCUCUGGCCUGUAACUGACGCUGAGGCGCGAAAGCGUGGGGAGCGAAC
rnacentral:rRNA from 2 species